rnacentral:rRNA from 1 species
ACGCUGGCGGCAGGCCUAACACAUGCAAGUCGAGCGGAAACGGCAGCAUUGAAGCUUCGGUGGAUUUGCUGGACGUCGAGCGGCGGACGGGUGAGUAACGGCUGGGAACCUGCCCUGACGCGGGGGAUAACCGUUGGAAACGACGGCUAAUACCGCAUAAUGUCUUAGUUCAUUACGAGCUGGGACCAAAGGUGGCCUCUACAUGUAAGCUAUCGCGUUGGGAUGGGCCCAGUUAGGAUUAGCUAGUUGGUAAGGUAAUGGCUUACCAAGGCGACGAUCCUUAGCUGGUUUGAGAGGAUGAUCAGCCACACUGGGACUGAGACACGGCCCARACUCCUACGGGAGGCAGCAGUGGGGAAUAUUGCACAAUGGGGGAGACCCUGAUGCAGCCAUGCCGCGUGUGUGAAGAAGGCCUUCGGGUUGUAAAGCACUUUCAGCAGUGAGGAAGGUGGUGUACUUAAUAAGUGCAUGGCUUGACGUUAGCUGCAAAAGAAGCACCGGCUAACUCCGUGCCAGCAGCCGCGGUAAUACGGAGGGUGCGAGCGUUAAUCGAAAUUACUGGGCGUAAAGCGCAUGCAGGCGGUUUGUUAAGUCAGAUGUGAAAGCCCGGGGCUCAACCUCGGAAACCGCAUUUGAAACUGGCAGGCUAGAGUCUUGUAGAGGGGGGUAGAAUUUCAGGUGUAGCGGUGAAAUGCGUAGAGAUCUGAAGGAAUACCAGUGGCGAAGGCGGCCCCCUGGACAAAGACUGACGCUCAGAUGCGAAAGCGUGGGUAGCAAACAGGAUUAGAUACCCUGGUAGUCCACGCCGUAAACGCUGUCUACUUGGAGGUUGAGGUUUUAGACUUUGGCUUUCGGCGCUAACGCAUUAAGUAGACCGCCUGGGGAGUACGGCCGCAAGGUUAAAACUCAAAUGAAUUGACGGGGGCCCGCACAAGCGGUGGAGCAUGUGGUUUAAUUCGAUGCAACGCGAAGAACCUUACCUACUCUUGACAUCCAGCGAAUCCUUUAGAGAUAGAGGAGUGCCUUCGGGAGCGCUGAGACAGGUGCUGCAUGGCUGUCGUCAGCUCGUGUUGUGAAAUGUUGGGUUAAGUCCCGCAACGAGCGCAACCCUUAUCCUUGUUUGCCAGCACGUAAUGGUGGGAACUCCAGGGAGACUGCCGGUGAUAAACCGGAGGAAGGUGGGGACGACGUCAAGUCAUCAUGGCCCUUACGAGUAGGGCUACACACGUGCUACAAUGGCAGAUACAGAGGGCAGCGAAGCUGCGAAGUGGAGCGAAUCCCUUAAAGUCUGUCGUAGUCCGGAUUGGAGUCUGCAACUCGACUCCAUGAAGUCGGAAUCGCUAGUAAUCGUGGAUCAGAAUGCCACGGUGAAUACGUUCCCGGGCCUUGUACACACCGCCCGUCACACCAUGGGAGUGGGCUGCACCAGAAGUAGAUAGCUAACUUCGGAGGGCGUUA